GCUAGUUGUAAGUUGUAGAAACGUAUGUAAAAUCUCUGUGAAGAGGUAGGGGUAUUCUUUUCUUUCCCUCAUUCACUGGGAUGAUCUGUGAACAUAUGACCUGUUGUGCAAUUGAUUUGAUUUUGAAAAAGAUGUUAAGAUGAACAAAUCCAUGGCUCCUAUUCUUAUCUCUGCUGAUGCCUGAGGUCCAGAGCCAUGGAUAUGCUUGGAAACCUGACCCAGACACCUGAAAGCUACCUGUGUUUCAGCUGGCAAGUGUCAUGUACCUGCUUAGCAUAUGGCACUGCUGUGCAUCCUGGGGUGCAAAGCAGGGGAAGACACCCAGACAGCACUGGACCCGCACUGCUGACAGCCCAGAGCAGACUGGCUUUAAGAGGAACAGUCCUCUUCUGGACCCCUAGACCCAUGUCCUUGCAUUUGCGCAAGCCAGGAUACAGGAUUUGGCCCUGUUUGUGUCUAAAACACAGGAGAAGAUAAAGACCACCACGAAGCACAGCUCUCUCAAGAAAAAUAAGCAGCAUCACACAACAAAGCCCAUGGGAACCAUUAGAUCCUGUGAGGGAAAGGUCAACUAAGGCUUAUAAAGGCAAAGUCACUUUCCAGUUUUUUAGCUUAUCUGCUGCUUUUUGCACAGGCAUUCAUGUGUGCAGGACUAACUGGCCUAGAUGAGCCGUGAAGCUGCUGUGUCUCCUCUCUCAGAGCCAUCUUCAACACAAAGGUUUCUUGGAUGUCCCCAAGCUGCUGGUGUGGCCAUCACUGUCCUCACAGGAGCAUACAUGUCCUGCCUGGUGUGGGUCAGAGAAGUGGGCUCUGCAUUGCUGAACACCUACGUGUUUCACACUGGUCUGUGGGAUGUAGCUGUCCUCCAUUUGCACAGUGGCUCAGAUGACAGCUGCCUUCAGACAGGUUGGGAAGAGUCACUGGAGUGUAUGAGUGGUGUAAUUAAACCUUUUUCCUCUUCUGUCCACAGCAAGUUUUUUGAAUUGUGAGGAUAUGGCAAUUAAUGCAGCUCUUCAAAUAGCUCUUUGAGGGAAGAAAUUUAGGAUGCAUGUGGGAGAUGGAACUAUCAUAAGUAUAUGGGAGAGAUUUACUCUUUAGAAGAAGGUUAAAUUUCAUUCUUAAUUACAAAUGUUCCUUUCUUAUAACAAUUUUCAAAUCAUGAUUCCAUGAAGAAUUAUUAUUCCGUAAGUUUGGAUAACAAGGCUAUGCCUAGUUUAUGCCAUUUAGAUGCAAACGAUCACUGUGGUGUGCAAAUGUCCCAAAUGAGGUGGAAGGCAAACAGACACUGAGGGCACAAAAACGCAAUAUGGAAAAAAUAGUACGUUUUUUAGUUAGAAUGGAUGUUUCAAGGGCUCAGCUCCUCAAAGCCCUUUCUCAUGCUAGUCCAUUGACCUCACUACAAACCUCUCAUGAGAGCCCAUGUCAGUGGAGUCAUUCCAAUAAGGAGUGUCUUCUGAGUUACUAUAGCUUUUCUAUUCUUGAGCAACAAUGUGAGAUGAUCCGUGCAGCUGACUUAGGAUCUCUGGGAGGUAGAACUGCAAUAAAUCAGAUAGUACAAAGGAAAUCAGAAGAUCAAAUAAGGCAACAAAAUGUUUACUGACAGUGUGGAGUCUGCUUCAGAAGGCUAUUUUAGAAGUGUGGAGUAGAGAAAUACCACCUACCAGAUCAGUUUUUUAAAGGACUGAAAGGAAAACAAAAUGCUAUCAUGGUCAAACAUCAAGGCGGUGGAAAUCCCUUGAUGAUAUUAAAGUCAUCUUUUAAAAAAUGAAAGUCUUAUCUCCACUGGGAAAAUAGGAAAAACAUAACCUCUAGCAAGUUGGGUGUUGAACUGCAAUAAAGUAAAAGAGCAAAGAUUUAGAGAGGAAACCUAGUAAUAGUGUGAAGGUUGCUGUAACACCUUUCUCAAAAACAUCAAGGCAGGAAGAUGGGCAAAAUGUCAACAGGACCAAUGUGUGAUGAAGGUGUAGCAAAAGCACUCUGUGAAGACAAGACAUAGUAGCGGAGCUAAAAGAUGUGUUUCUAUUAGUGCUGGUCACAAAAAUGGUCAGUGACUCCCACUGGAGUAAUUCUUUGCAGGAGGUGAAUGUGAGAAACUGAUAGAAGCAUCCAUAGGAAGGGUUUGGAAUAAGUCAGUAAUAUGAAUCUAACCAGUUCCCAGGACCAGAAGAAAUUCCUGCAGGAGCUUUAAGAGUAUUCUGGUGCAACACUACAGUCCCAUUUGAGUUACUGCAUAAAGCAUUUAAUGACCAAAAAAAAAAAAAAAGCUACAAAUGGGACACGAGUCUUUAAGAAAGAAUUGAGGAUCAGUCUGAAAAACUGAAAACUGAUGGGUUAGCAAGUCUGGCAUUCGUAUCAAGCCGAUCAGUAGAAGCUACUGUAAAGACAGCUCAAGGUAGAAGGAGCAACAUUCCCACUCACAAAGAAGCUCUUUCUGUGGAUCUUAAUCUUCAUCUCUGGCUGAAGACGGCAAAAUAGGGAUGUGAUACUAAAGAUGUCCCAAAGCACAGAGAUUUAAGGACAGCUAGGGCGAAGUCUCACAGCCCACAAGAAAGGUUUGUUGCAGGUAUGAUACACAAUGUGGAAAAACCUGUAGGCUUGAAAGGCUUUUGGAGGACUUUGGCAGAGAUAGCAUUGUGUUCUGUUUCAUGAAUGAGUACGUAGGAGCAAAAUCCUGACAUACCUUGAUCUCCAGCGUGCACCCAGGUUUUGCUGGCAAGUCUCUUAGCCAGGGGAUAACACUGGUGCAAUGUGAACAGGACGGGCAGAAGGCACAACACUGUUGUAUGGAUAUGCUCUGAGGAAAUCAGGCUUUGAGAGAGAAAGAAAUGGGAAAAAGUCUUUUAUUUGACUAUAAGACAGAAGCGGCUGGACAAAAGAGAGGGAUGUUAUUUGUGGGAUAUUACCUGGUUUUGGGCUUGUAACAUAAUGGACAGAUAAAGAAGAUAUGAGUAACUAAAUGAUUGAUGAUGAUGCAAAUAAAAAAAUGCAGCAGUUUCUCAGAAUGGCCUUAUGUUAGUCAGAAGGAGUUGCAGAGUUAAGUGAUUAAUACAAUGGCAAAUAAAAUUCAACAUCAGUA